GAUGAACGCUAGCUACAGGCUUAACACAUGCAAGUCGAGGGGAAACGGCAUUAAGUGCUUGCACUUUUUGGACGUCGACCGGCGCACGGGUGAGUAACGCGUAUCCAACCUUCCCAUGACUAAGGGAUAACCUGCCGAAAGGCAGACUAAUACCUUAUGGUCUUCACUGACGGCAUCAGAUGUGAAGUAAAGAUUUAUCGGUUAUGGAUGGGGAUGCGUCUGAUUAGCUUGUUGGCGGGGUAACGGCCCACCAAGGCAACGAUCAGUAGGGGUUCUGAGAGGAAGGUCCCCCACAUUGGAACUGAGACACGGUCCAAACUCCUACGGGAGGCAGCAGUGAGGAAUAUUGGUCAAUGGGCGAGAGCCUGAACCAGCCAAGUAGCGUGCAGGAAGACGGCCCUAUGGGUUGUAAACUGCUUUUGUAUGGGGAUAAAGUCAAUCACGUGUGAUUGUUUGCAGGUACCAUACGAAUAAGGACCGGCUAACUCCGUGCCAGCAGCCGCGGUAAUACGGAAGGUCCGGGCGUUAUCCGGAUUUAUUGGGUUUAAAGGGAGCGUAGGCUGGAGAUUAAGUGUGUUGUGAAAUGUAGACGCUCAACGUCUGACUUGCAGCGCAUACUGGUUUCCUUGAGUACGCACAACGUUGGCGGAAUUCGUCGUGUAGCGGUGAAAUGCUUAGAUAUGACGAAGAACUCCGAUUGCGAAGGCAGCUGACGGGAGCGCAACUGACGCUGAAGCUCGAAGGUGCGGGUAUCGAACAGG
rnacentral:rRNA from 1 species